GCGGGUUUACGACCUCGAUGUUGGAUCAGGGUAUCCCAGUGGUGCAGCCGCUACUAAAGGUUCGUUUGUUCAACGAUUAAAACCCUACGUGAUCUGAGUUCAGACCGGAGUAAUCCAGGUCAGUUUCUAUCUAUAAGGAGCUUUUUCUAGUACGAAAGGACCGAAAAAACAUGGCCCAUAUAUAAUACAAGCCAUAUUUAAUAAUUUAUGAUUAAAACUCAAUAAAUACUUAACCUACUACUCAACUCUAGACAAGAGUAGUU
rnacentral:rRNA from 1 species